AUGUAUUUGGACAUGGUGAAGGAGGGAGACAUGGGCAUCCAUGACCUGUUGGAAAUAGAUGCUUCCCUUCUGGAGCACGGGGCUGACGACAACUCAGGUGGAAGGAGGCCUCAUCUCCCUGCACAACGCAGCCUCAUACAGGUCCUUUCCUCUCCUCUGUCACUUCUCUCCUAUCUCCCGUCUACAGCACAUGCAUAUUGUGGCCCUCCUGAUCAAGUUCAAUGAGCCUUCAACCCUCUCCACAAGACAGCUCAGAAGGAAAACAUAUUGAAUGCUGGUGAUUGCCCUAUUGAUGGACAUUAUGCCCCCAGGUACAGAGAAGAGGGAUUACCAGCUCAGCUCAUCAAACUGUCCAAUCUCUGGAGGGGACAAUAAGCAUUGCUCAAUCUUAAUAACAAACUUGUAGGCCGUCUGUAAAUAUGAAUACAAUUGUUAAAUUACGAGCCAUGUUGGUUAAGCCACAGAAAACGUUAGGAACCUUCCCACUAGCCAUGAUUGGCUAAGAUAAUGAGUGGGCUGGACAUGCUGAGAGAGGAUAGGAUUGGUCUGCCAUAUUGAAAGCUUCUGUCUAUUUGAGCUCAUCUGUCUGUGUUAGCAAUCCUGUCGAACGCUUCUUUUAAAAAAUGUAUUGUGUAGUGGAGCUGCAUUAGUGUUGCUCUCCACUUCCUGAAGGAUCAUCUCCAGAUUACAUCUUCAAACUAAGGGCAACCGUGGUAUGGCAUUCCAGACAGGGAAGGAGCUGCAUAAGUGUUGCUCUCCACUUUCUGGAGGAUCAAGUUUUAAAAUCAGUGGAAUUAGAGUAUGAUAGCUAAAGAAAUGGAGAAAACACCAGUCUCCGGAUUACAUCUUCAAUCUAAGGGCAACCAUGGCAUCCGACAGGUAUAUGGGUAAGAUCAAUCAAUCAAAUUUAUUUACAAAGCCCUUCUUACAUCAGCUGAUGUCACAAAGUGUUAUACAGAAACCCAGCCUAAAACCCCAAACAGCAAGCAAUGCAGGUGUAGAAGCACGGUGGCUAGGAAAAACUCCCUAGAAAGGCCAGAACCUAGGAAGAAACCUAGAUAGUAACCAGGCUAUGAGGAGUGGCCAGUCCUCUUCUGGCUGUGCCGGGUGGAUAUUAUAACAGAACAUGGCCAAGAUGUUAAAAUGUUUAUAGAUGACCAGCAGAGUCAAAUAAUAAUAAUCACAGUGGUUGUCGAGGGUGCAACAGGUCAGCACCUCAAGAGUAAAUGUCAGUUGGCUUUUCAUAGCCAAUCAUUCAGAGUAUCUCUACCGCUCCUGCUGUCUCUAGAGAGUUGAAAACAGCAGGAAUGGGACAGGUAGCACGUCCGGUGAAGAGGUCAGGGUUAGAUAUGAGUGCCCAAUCGACAAAUUUGCAUUCUUUAAAGAUAAAGUCAUGGUUAAAAGCCUGGGCUUAAUACUGGCAGGCACAAUAAUAGGCAUGAAUGAUCAGUUCCCGAAAGAACUUGGAGAACGGUGUAAAGUUCUGUAACCACUCUUCAAGAUAAAUAGAUUAGAAGGGAGACGUGUAGCUUUCGUAGUUGAUAAACUAUAUUGAUAACCAACUGUUCUGAGACACCAAGACUACUUGUGGUAGCAUUUUCCUGUAUUACCAAAUGAGGAGAGUUAAACCACACACCAGUCAGUUAUACUUAAACUUAAUCUUUAAUAAUAUGAGCUUUACAAUAGCCCUUUGACUCUCAGAUCUAUUCACCAUCUAUAAUGAAUUUUGAGAGUAACUACAGAAGAAUACAAAGAUCUUUUAUAGCCAAUAUACACCCCUCUCAAUUUACAUGACGAACCACAGAUCUUAGGAACUCUUCACAAAGGGCCUUUUACUUGAGAAAGGAGUAUCCCUUAGUCAGAUAGCAUUCGCUAUAAAGUAUUGCUCAGUUUGGUCUCUAAAACGAGGUUCUAAUCUCGUUCCUGGUACUUCAUAAUACAAAAACAUUACCUCAUCCAAGGCAUAACUCAAUUGUCAACUCUAGAUACUCCCAUCUCAAGUAAACCCCCUCUUGACCCCACUCCUGGACAAGCUCACUGAGGGGAGUGGAGACAAGUAAUUGGUUCCCCCUUAACCUCUGCGCACCAAACCCGUUAGCGGGAUUGAAUUCGACAACAUACGUUGAUCGCUACAUAAAUAGUCAUAUUAAACAUUCAUGAAAAUACAAGUGUCUCACAUGGGUCGAAAGCCUAGAAUCUUGCUAAUCCAACUGCGUUGUCAGAUUUUAAAAAGGAUUUACUGUGAAAGAAUACGAUGCGAUUAUCUGAGGACAAAGCCCCAUUAAAAAAAGCUAUUUCAACCAGCACAGGUGUAACAUCACAAAUUGCAAUUAAAUUAAUUGUUUACCUUUGACGAUCUUCCUCUGUUUGCAAUCCCGAUGCUCAUUGUUACACAAUGAAUGGCCUUUUGUUUGAUCAAAUCCAUUUUUAUAGCCUAACACGAAACAUUUUGUGAACCGCUUGUGUCAUGAAUUCCGUCUCAUUCCAUUUUCAACAACACAUUUGAUGUAAAUACACACACUAAACGUGACUUUUCCAGUCAUGUUUGGUUUCAUUGCAAUCAACUGGUUUUGUUUGUGUAAUGGUUCUCUUGGUGUGAAGGACAGUCGGACCAAAAUGCAGCAUGUAGAUUGCGAUCCAUGUUUUAAUAAACAAACGUAACACGAAUCUAAAUACAAACACUACAAAAAAAACAAUAAACGUAACAAAAACCGAAACAGCCUAUACUUGUGUACACUAACACAUAGACAGGAACAAGGACACUAAGGACAAUCACCCACGACAAACUCAAAGAAUAUGGCUGCCUAAAUAUGGUUCCCAAUCAGAGACAACGAUAAACACCUGCCUCUGAUUGAGAACCACUCCAGACAGCCAUAGACUUUGCUAGAUCACCCCACUAGCUACAAUCCCAAUAUAUACACACCACAUACAAAAACC